UCCCACAUCCAAUAAUGCAGAUGUUGGCUUGCCUCAGCCCUGUGUUCCCCUGCCAAAGAGGGGUGAGAGGGCUCUUUCCAGCCCCUGAAUGCUCCUGGGACAUCCAUGAUCUACCCUGCAGCUGGCCUGGGUCUGCCUCUUCUUUCUGUGUGUUGCUCCUGCCCGUGGUGCUCACCUACACCAGCAUAUGGAUUUGGCAGGUGUAAACACAUCCCAGCUUUACCACCUCUGGUUUCUGGAAAUGGACAUUCAUUUUGGGAAGCAAGUGGAAGAGCAGCAUUCUGCCAGGACUGGACUCUAAAUGCUGCUGAACUGGAAUUCAGUUGUCCUGUGUUGCUCAGCAAGUGUGAACAGACCACUCCUGAAAG